AACGAACGCUGGCGGCAGGCCUAACACAUGCAAGUCGAACGCCCUAGCAAUAGGGCGUGGCAGACGGGUGAGUAACGCGUGGGAACGUGCCUUUCGGUUCGGAAUAACUCAGGGAAACUUGAGCUAGUACCGGAUACGCCACUCGGGGGAAAGAGUUAUUGCCGAAGGAUCGGCCCGCGUCCGAUUAGCUAGUUGGUGUGGUAAUGGCGCACCAAGGCGACAAUCGGUAGCUGGUCUGAGAGGAUGAUCAGCCACACUGGGACGGAGACACGGCCCAGACUCCUACGGGAGGCAGCAGUGGGGAAUAUUGGACAAUGGGCGCAAGCCUGAUCCAGCCAUGCCGCGUGAGUGAUGAAGGCCCUAGGGUUGUAAAGCUCUUUCGCCAGGGACGAUAAUGACGGUACCUGGAUAAGAAGCCCCGGCUAACUUCGUGCCAGCCGCCGCCGUAACAC
rnacentral:rRNA from 1 species